ensembl:ncRNA K06C4.26 ncRNA
GUGGGAAGGAGGAGCCUAUUGACAUUCUGUGGGGACACCUUUCUAUGCUGUCUCUCAUGCCGAAUGUACAAAGUGCAUAGUUUUUCUUGGUCACUCUGCCACUUCCCCCAUCUGUCUUAUCUCUAUGUGCCCGCCUAGUCACCGCAGCUGUG